UGUUGGUUCUCCCGCAACGCUACUCUGUUUACCAGGUCAGGUCCGGAAGGAAGCAGCCAAGGCAGAUGACGCGUGUGCCGGGAUGUAGCUGGCAGGGC
rnacentral:SRP_RNA from 45 species